rnacentral:rRNA from 1 species
GACGAACGCUGGCGGCGUGCUUAACACAUGCAAGUCGAACGGAAAGGCCCUGCUUUUGUGGGGUGCUCGAGUGGCGAACGUGUGAGUAACACGUGAGUAACCUGCCCUUGACUUUGGGAUAACUUCAGGAAACUGGGGCUAAUACCGGAUAGGAGCUCCUGCUGCAUGGUGGGGGUUGGAAAGUUUCGGCGGUUGGGGAUGGACUCGCGGCUUAUCAGCUUGUUGGUGGGGUAGUGGCUUACCAAGGCUUUGACGGGUAGCCGCCCUGCGAGGGUGACCGGCCACAUUGGGACUGAGGUACGGCCCAGACUCCUACGGGAGGCAGCAGUGGGGCAUAUUGCACAAUGGGCGGAAGCCUGAUGCAGCAACGCCGCGUGCGGGAUGCCGGCCUUCGGGUUGUAAACCGCUUUCGCCCGUGACGAAGCGUGAGUGACGGUAAUGGGUAAAGAAGCACCGGCUAACUACGUG